rnacentral:rRNA from 1 species
GACGAACGCUGGCGGCGUGCCUAAUACAUGCAAGUAGAACGCACAGUUUAUACCGUAGCUUGCUACACCAUAGACUGUGAGUUGCGAACGGGUGAGUAACGCGUAGGUAACCUGCCUGGUAGCGGGGGAUAACUAUUGGAAACGAUAGCUAAUACCGCAUAAUAUUAAUUAUUGCAUGAUAAUUAAUUGAAAGGUGCAAUUGCACCACUACCAGAUGGACCUGCGUUGUAUUAGCUAGUAGGUGAGGUAACGGCUCACCUAGGCGACGAUACAUAGCCGACCUGAGAGGGUGAUCGGCCGCACUGGGACUGAGACACGGCCCAGACUCCUACGGGAGGCAGCAGUAGGGAAUCUUCGGCAAUGGACGAAAGUCUGACCGAGCAACGCCGCGUGAGUGAAGAAGGUUUUCGGAUCGUAAAGCUCUGUUGUAAGAGAAGAACGGGUGUGAGAGUGGAAAGUUCACACUGUGACGGUAUCUUACCAGAAAGGGACGGCUAACUACGCG